ensembl:lncRNA
GUGAGUCCAACCCUGCGUGGGGGACACGCCGUCUCCCCAGCUCGUCCCCUCCCCCUGGUGGCUGGACCCCAGAGGUGGUGGUGACAGUCGGCUUAGAUCAAACCUGCCCGGCAGCCUGUGAAGCAACAAGAGAGAGGAGCCGCUGCUCUAGUUCUGGAAGCUUCUGGCCAGGACUGGUAGGUGAGAGAAAACCGAGCUUCCCUCUUGUUACUGUGAGUCUCUGAGGCCCUCCACCUAGUAUCCCAGGGAACCCAGGAUCUGUGAUGAGAAGCUGCUGCCUUUCACCCCUGGGUGCUCUGGGGGUGAACCACGUGGUCUCCCCGCUACGCUAUUCCACUCUCAACUGUUCCAAGCAGAAGGCUCGCCGGUCCCCCUGGGGCCAUCGCUGCCUCCGGGGCUUUUCACAGCAACCCUGCAAGAGACUUUCUAUUCCUGUUUUACAGAUGGGGAAACUGAGGUUCGGAGACAUGACCAAAACUCCGAGAGCUGGGAGGCAACAAUAAUUGGUGGAGCCAGCCUCAGUUCCAGGUUCCCCUGCUCCCAAGUCUUCGCUCUCCCUGACAGAAGCGAGAAUUGUUCACCCAUUCAGCCGAAUGCAGCGUGGUCAUUCUCGUGGAAAGAGGGUGUCUGUGGGAGAGGCCUUGGCAAGCCUGUGUGGAGGCUAAGCUCGGACUCCAAUGGGCAGAGGAACUACUCUGUGCAUCAAAACAAGCUGGGGGUAGGGGGCUGGGUGGACCACCAAGGCCCACGACAGGGUGCUGCCUACCACCCACUACAUUUCCCUAGGAUCCUCCAACAGUCACAAAACACUGGAAGGAGCUGGCUUGCUCAUAGAAAUGGGGGAAGACGCUAGUCCCGUCCCGUGCCAGGGUUGAGCGCCCAGCUGCCAUCGGAGAGCAGCAUGUGGUAGAGGGGACGUCUGGGUUCUGCUCUUGCCAUGACCUUCCCAGAGGGCCAGUCGGCAGAUCUCACAGAGCGCACCUGGGCUUUGCGACCCUGAGGAGACCUCGUUCCCACAACAGUCCACGGAGCGUGGCACGUGGCACCGGCAGGGACCCCCUGGAAGGGCCUGCGUCAAGAAUCACCUCGGCUCAUGCCGCCACCCCCGCAGCCACCAUCGGAUGCCCAAGCAGUCGUGAGCAGACACCGGGACACGGAGACCAGCCCCACAGCUGCCGUGCCACCCCCCUGGCUGGUCAGCGGGAGAAGGCCCCCACCGCACCUCCCACUUACCAACCCUGCCCCAGUGCAACCAUCUGGUGGCACCUCUUGCCCUCUGGCGGCCAGAGCCUGAGGCGUGUGGGGGCUGGGUCUGACUUCCCCACCUCCGAAGUGCAGAAGGGCACAGGGAAGGAUGCGGGAAUGGCUGCUGAGCCCGGAGGAGAAGAGCCACCAAUCACCCACGGACCUCUUGGCCUCAACAGACUGACAUCCUCUCUGCCGGAAAGUGGAAGGUGACAGGGACUGCAGGCUAGAUGGCAUCGGAGAAACUCCCAGGGACAAGAAGUUCAGACGAAUGGGAUCCAGGAAGGGCAUUUCCACAUUUGCAAGGCGCCCGUCCUGCUCCAGAGGUCACCGGGUCCCCAUUUUUCUGUCCGGGAUCCUUCAGUGCUUCCUGUUGCCCCAGGGCCAGCUGGCCUGGCUUACCUGCUUUAACCUUGACCUUCCCUAUGAAGAAAUGAAGGGUCUUUCCUACCCCCUCACACACUUUCUGGAUGUCUUGGGAAUUUAUACAAGGGAGUUGAAGCUGAGACAGCAGCCCUCCCCUCCCUCACUCCCACCCGCCACGUAAAUAAGGGGGUGCGGGGUGGGAGGGUGG